CGGGGGAACUGAAACAUCUAAGUACCCCGAGGAAAAGAAAUCAACCGAGAUUCCCCCAGUAGCGGCGAGCGAACGGGGAGCAGCCCAGAGCCUGAAUCAGUAUGUGUGUUAGUGGAAGCGUCUGGAAAGGCGCGCGAUACAGGGUGACAGCCCCGUACACAAAAAUGCACAUGCUGUGAGCUCGAUGAGUAGGGCGGGACACGUGGUAUCCUGUCUGAAUAUGGGGGGACCAUCCUCCAAGGCUAAAUACUCCUGACUGACCGAUAGUGAACCAGUACCGUGAGGGAAAGGCGAAAAGAACCCCGGCGAGGGGAGUGAAAAAGAACCUGAAACCGUGUACGUACAAGCAGUGGGAGCACGCUUAGGCGUGUGACUGCGUACCUUUUGUAUAAUGGGUCAGCGACUUAUAUUCUGUAGCAAGGUUAACCGAAUAGGGGAGCCGAAGGGAAACCGAGUCUUAACUGGGCGUUAAGUUGCAGGGUAUAGACCCGAAACCCGGUGAUCUAGCCAUGGGCAGGUUGAAGGUUGGGUAACACUAACUGGAGGACCGAACCGACUAAUGUUGAAAAAUUAGCGGAUGACUUGUGGCUGGGGGUGAAAGGCCAAUCAAACCGGGAGAUAGCUGGUUCUCCCCGAAAGCUAUUUAGGUAGCGCCUCGUGAAUUCAUCUCCGGGGGUAGAGCACUGUUUCGGCAAGGGGGUCAUCCCGACUUACCAACCCGAUGCAAACUGCGAAUACCGGAGAAUGUUAUCACGGGAGACACACGGCGGGUGCUAACGUCCGUCGUGAAGAGGGAAACAACCCAGACCGCCAGCUAAGGUCCCAAAGUCAUGGUUAAGUGGGAAACGAUGUGGGAAGGCCCAGACAGCCAGGAUGUUGGCUUAGAAGCAGCCAUCAUUUAAAGAAAGCGUAAUAGCUCACUGGUCGAGUCGGCCUGCGCGGAAGAUGUAACGGGGCUAAACCAUGCACCGAAGCUGCGGCAGCGACGCUGAUGCGUUGUUGGGUA
rnacentral:rRNA from 1 species